rnacentral:rRNA from 1 species
UACGUAGGAGGCGAGCGUUGUCCGGAAUUACUGGGCGUAAAGAGCGCGUAGGCGGCGCUGUACGACCCGUGUGAAAGCCCCCGGCUCAACUGGGGAGGGUCACGGGUAACGGCAGUGCUCUGAGUGCAGGAGAGGGAAGUGGAACUCCGGGAGUAGCGGUGAAAUGCGUAGAGAUCCGGAAGAACACCGACGGCGAAGGCAGCGUCCUGGCCGAGUGCUGACGCUCAGGCACGAAAGCGCGGGGAGCGAACAGG